rnacentral:rRNA from 1 species
AGAGUUUGAUCAUGGCUCAGAUUGAACGCUGGCGGUAUGCUUAACACAUGCAAGUCGAACGGUAACAUUGGAGCUUGCUCCAGAUGACGAGUGGCGGACGGGUGAGUAACGCGUAGGAAUCUGCCUAUUAGUGUGGGACAACCUGGUGAAAACCAGGCUAAUACCGCAUACGCCCUACGGGGAAAAGCGGGGGAUCUUCGGACCUCGCGCUAAUAGAUGAGCCUGCGUUAGAUUAGCUAGUUGGUGAGGUAAUGGCUCACCAAGGCGACGAUCUAUAGCUGGUCUGAGAGGACGAUCAGCCACACUGGGACUGAGACACGGCCCAGACUCCUACGGGAGGCAGCAGUGGGGAAUAUUGGACAAUGGGCGAAAGCCUGAUCCAGCAAUACCGCGUGUGUGAAGAAGGCCUGAGGGUUGUAAAGCACUUUCAAUUGGGAGGAAAACAGGCAGGUUAAUAUCCUGUCUCUUGACAUUACCUUUAGAAGAAGCACCGGCUAACUCCGUGCCAGCAGCCGC